rnacentral:rRNA from 1 species
UACGUAGGGCGCAAGCGUUGUCCGGAAUUAUUGGGCGUAAAGAGCUCGUAGGCGGCCUGUUACGUCUGCUGUGAAAUCCCGGGGCUUAACCCCGGGCGUGCAGUGGAUACGGGCAGGCUGGAGGCAGGCAGGGGAGAACGGAAUUCCCGGUGUAGCGGUGAAAUGCGCAGAUAUCAGGAGGAACACCGAUGGCGAAGGCAGGUCUCUGGGCUGUAACUGACGCUGGAGGAGCGAAAGCAUGGGGAGCGAACAGG